UAGGGAAUCUUCGGCAAUGGGGGCAACCCUGACCGAGCAACGCCGCGUGAGUGAAGAAGGUUUUCGGAUCGUAAAGCUCUGUUGUAAGUCAAGAACGGGUGUGAGAGUGGAAAGUUCACACUGUGACGGUAGCUUACCAGAAAGGGACGGCUAACUACGUGCCAGCAGCCGCGGUAAUACGGAGGUCCCGAGCGUUGUCCGGAUUUAUUGGGCGUAAAGCGAGCGCAGGCGGUUUGAUAAGUCUGAAGUUAAAGGCUGUGGCUCAACCAUAGUUCGCUUUGGAAACUGUCAAACUUGAGUGCAGAAGGGGAGAGUGGAAUUCCAUGUGUAGCGGUGAAAUGCGUAGAUAUAUGGAGGAACACCGGUGGCGAAAGCGGCUCUCUGGUCUGUAACUGACGCUGAGGCUCGAAAGCGUGGGGAGCGAACAGG
rnacentral:rRNA from 1 species